ACUGCAGCCUGGGCGAUAGAGUGAGACUUCAUCUGGAAAAAAAAAAAAAGGACUUUAUGAAUUUUAAGGCCUUCAUUCUUUUCUUUAUAACUUAAUUUCUACAUGUAUUUACUUUGUACAGGCCACUAUAGCUACCAUAUUAAGACCAGUAUUAUCAGCUUAAUUCUGAUUAUAAAAAUAUUAUCUCAGAAUGUCAUCCCAAAGGAAACCCUUGAAAGAUAGGACUAUUUAAAAUACCAGGUAGUAUAUGCAGAACCAGAGGCAGAAUACCAUCUGCAGAUCUCAAAUUUUAAGAAAAAACUUUGAAAGAAAUGGCAUGACAAACCCAUAGCCUCACAAAGUUGAAUUUAGAAUUCAACAAUAGAAUUGCAGCUAUCUUCUUCAAUUAACUUUGCAAGUUAUAACUGUGAGAUUUUUUUCUCUUAAAACUGAUUUCCUGGGGAGUUAACUUCUUGAAACAUAUCACUAAGGAGAAGCAAAGAAAAGAAAGCCAAAUGAGCUAUUUGUAGUAUCAACAAAGACAUUUGAAAGAGAAGGCAAUUCUCCAUUUCCCAUGAGAGUGUGUAAGAAGUCUACCAUUGGCAUCAUCUCCAAUCACAGCCUACAGCAUCCAUCAGGGUAUUACUUUCUCUAUGACAGCAUGUGUGCAGGAGGGCUCUCACGUUGGAAUGUGGAACUGGCUUCUUGGGGGGAUUAUGUAUGCUGUGGCAUUGGCACCAUGGCACUCAGCUCUUAACUCUGGCUUCAUCUAGGUUUUUUUUUUCAUUGUGACACAUGGGCUUUCUUUAUUUGUCAUGAAGUAUGUUUCUCUUUCUGUCAUUUGUGGUAGGGUUUCUCUCUUUCACUCAAUGCCACAUCUCUGUGGUCUCCAUAGGUGCUGUUUAUGUUUAAUUUAUGAUGCUAUAAAGACCAAUAAAAUGAAGAACUCCUUAAGGAAUCUAAUAUUCAUGAUAAUCCUCUUUCUAGAAAUAAUUAUUUCUUUUUAGUCUUAAAUUGGUAAAUAUUUCACAGAAUUUUAGACUGUAAACCUUAAUAAUUAAAAUUUCAAGGAAUAUUCUUCUUAGUUUUCGAUUUUUCAUUUGGAAACCUCUUGACAGGAUCAUUGGUACAAAGUACAGUAUUUAUUUUAUAGCAUCACUAUGGAGGUAGCCAAACCUUCCAUGGCUCGAUCUCUUCUUUCCCUUACAUUUACAUCAUCAUCUUCAUUUACCUUCACUAUUGAAGAAAUAAAGUCUCCAAUCCCUAAUGUAGCACGUUGGUUUACCAAUUGCAUAUCACUAUUUUCUGUGUCAUUCAUUAAAUGAAAAAAAUAAGCCUUGCUCAAAAAUGAACCUAUCCAUGAGUUGUAUAGGAACAAGAUUUAUAACCUCAGCUGGCUGAUACUAUUUAGCAAACGUUUCUCCAUGUAGUUAUGGUCCCUUUGUACAAAAAAAAAAAAAGUGUGUGUGUGUAUGUGUGUGUGUGUGUGUAUAUAUAUAUAUAUAAAUAUGUAUAUAUAAUUCUUUUACUUGUGAUAAGCUUUGUUUUUAGUAUCAUUUUAAAUUAAUCUUCAUAACAGCCUUGUUUUGGGUAGAUAUUAAUGUCAUCCUCGUUUUAAAGAUGAGGAAAUUGAGACACAAAGAGGCUGAUCAUAAAGCUAGCAAGUGAGUGGUAGAAAAUUGUCUUUUCUUAAAUACCAUGCUUUCUCCUGUUAAGAAGUUGUUAAAAGUCAUUAGCUCUGUGACUAGCAUGUAGUAGUCUUGUAUUUUCACUUCAUCUAUUUACUUUGUUCAGGUUGUUUAUAUAGUUUGGGGUAUAUAUUAUGAGAAGAUGCACCUACAAGAUACAGAACUUUAAUUAAUACAAAACGUUAGUAGUGUGUAUUUUCACUUCAUCCAUUUACUUUGUUCAGGUUGGUUACAUAGUUUGGGGUAUAUACUAUGAGAAGAUGCACCUAUAAGACACAAAACUUUAAUUCAAAGAAAUGUUAGAAAGACAUCUAACAUUUAUGGUAAUAUAAUUUAUUGUUAUGUAAUUUAUUGUUAUUUUUCUCUUAUUUAGUCAUUUGAUAAAUAUUGAGCUACCUACUAUGCCUUAUUUAAAUAUAAUCAUAAUCUGCCAGCUAUUUCUUGGCCUUUGGAGUUGGCUUUACAUUUAGAAUACAUAAAAUAUUAUUAAUGUAGUGAGGUUAGUGUCUCAUAUUGUACAGUCUUUCAUCCCUUCAAGCAAAGUGGAAAAAAAGAACUCAUCUUUCACGUUUCUAACUGAUUUUCAACUUUGUUCCAGCAGUGUUCUAGCAGAACUCCUUUUUCAAAUCCUUUGAAAAGAUUGCUUCAGAAUUCCCUUAGUAUAAACCAAAGCCAGAAUUAAUACUUUCUUCUGAUAGAAAUUGAAUUCCUUCUAACUUAUUUGAGAAGCUGAAAUAUAUACUAGAUAUGAAUUUAUUAUAAUUUAUAACACAGUAUCUAAACCAAAGAAAAUUAAUAAACAUCCAAGUUGUCAUGCUUUUACUGGUCCAAAUUGAACCCUUUAGAGCCUUAUCUUUAAUGUCUUAGAUUUCCCAGUAGCAAGGUUGAUUUAGAUAAUUUGACAUUUAGAAGCUAAAUAGUUUAUUUCCCGUUGAGUAGACAGGGACUGAAAAUCGUGUUUUUAUUUAAUGCUUAAGAACUUCCAGCUACCUAAAGGAAAGAUGGUUUUAAAGUUGUAAUAUGCAAAAUAGUUGUCCUUUGAACUCUUAGACACUCUUAGGAUACCAAUUCUGAUCUGAACAAACUCGGACUGCCUAACAGUUUUGGAGCUUUUGCAAACAGAAGUUUCAGUUGAAUUGCAGUGAGUAGGUCUACAUAUUCAAGAAAGGA